UACGGAGGGUGCGAGCGUUGUUCGGAAUCACUGGGCGUAAAGGGCGUGUAGGCGGUCCGCUAAGUCUGAUGUGAAAGCCCGGGGCUCACCCCCGGAAGGGCAUUGGAAACUGGCGAACUCGAGUCCCGGAGAGGAAGGUGGAAUUCCUGGUGUAGCGGUGAAAUGCGUAGAUAUCAGGAGGAAUACCGGUGGCGAAGGCGGCCUUCUGGACGGUGACUGACGCUGAGACGCGAAAGCGUGGGGAGCAAACAGG
rnacentral:rRNA from 1 species